rnacentral:rRNA from 1 species
CCUACGGGCGGCAGCAGUGGGGAAUAUUGCACAAUGGGCGCAAGCCUGAUGCAGCCAUGCCGCGUGUGUGAAGAAGGCCUUCGGGUUGUAAAGCACUUUCAGCGGGGAGGAAGGCGGUGAGGUUAAUAACCUCAUCGAUUGACGUUACCCGCAGAAGAAGCACCGGCUAACUCCGUGCCAGCAGCCGCGGUAAUACGGAGGGUGCAAGCGUUAAUCGGAAUUACUGGGCGUAAAGCGCACGCAGGCGGUCUGUCAAGUCGGAUGUGAAAUCCCCGGGCUCAACCUGGGAACUGCAUUCGAAACUGGCAGGCUAGAGUCUUGUAGAGGGGGGUAGAAGUCCAGGUGUAGCGGUGAAAUGCGUAGAGAUCUGGAGGAAUACCGGCGGCGAAGGCGGCCCCCUGGACAAAGACUGACGCUCAGGUGCGAAAGCGUGGGGAGCAAACAGGAUUAGAUACCCGAGUAGUC